rnacentral:rRNA from 1 species
CUGCCAGCCGCCGCGGUAAUACGGAGGGUGCAAGCGUUAUCCGGAUUCAUUGGGUUUAAAGGGUGCGCAGGCGGAUACUUAAGUCAGUGGUGAAAUCCCGGGGCUCAACCCCGGAACUGCCAUUGAUACUGAAUAUCUGGAAUACGGUUGAAGUGGGCGGAAUGUAGCGUGUAGCGGUGAAAUGCAUAGAGAUGCUACAGAACACCGAUCGCGAAGGCAGCUCACUAAGCCGAUAUUGACGCUCAGGCACGAAAGCGUGGGGAGCGAACAGGAUUAGAUACCCUGGUAGUCCACGCCGUAAACGAUGAUAACUCGUUGUUGGCGACACACAGUCAGCGACUAAGCGAAAGCGAUAAGUUAUCCACCUGGGGAGUACGAUCGCAAGGUUGAAACUCAAAUGAAUUGACGG